UUUGUUUUGUUUUGAAUUGACAUAGAGAAAUAUUUCUCACGUUCCCUUAAUUCAGGAAUAGGUGGCGAAGGCUACUUGUUCCUUGUAUAUAUAUAUAAAGGAAAGGGGUUAUUUUUCCUUUACGGCAAUAAGAGUUGAUUCCCUUGCUUGUAGUUUUGGAUCGAUUCCGUGUAUUUCACAUAUUUAAGAGUGGUUAGGAGAG
rnacentral:lncRNA from 1 species